AGGGGGAGGAGGCGGAGCUACAGGCAAACAAUCAACCUCAUCGGAGCUGUCGUGACAAUGAGCUCUGCCAUCGCAAACCAGCUUCUUGAGAACACAGCUCCGCCUGUCUUUGCAGAGGAAGUCCGCUGUGGGAGAAUAGCAUGUUUUCUCAUCAGAGCCGUCAGGACAAUCUUUAACGCCGUCACAUAUCUGCGAUGGGGGGAUGCAAGUUGAAUCUGAACACAGAAACGAAGGACUGGUGCAAGACUGCUUGCUGGGAGGUUGAGUCCUGGCAGGGAACGCAUUGAGUCCCGUCCUGACAUAGCUGGGAACCUAAACGACACUUCAGCACCGAAUCUCGGUUGGCAGGCGGAGGAGGCGGAGCUACAGGCAAACAGUCGACCUCAUCGGAGCUGUCGUGACAAUGAGCUCUGCCAUCGCAAACCAGCUUCCUGAGAACACAGCUCCGCCUGUCUUUACAGAGGAAGUCCGCUGUGGCACGUUUUCUCAUCAGAGCCGUCAGGACAAUCUUUAACGCCGUCACAUAUCUGCGUUGGGGGGAUGCACGUUGAAUCUGGACACAGAAACGAAGGACUGGUGCAAGACGGCUUGAUGGGAGGUUGAGUCCUGGCAGGCAAUGGAGGUUGAUUUCGGCGGCCAUUUUCUCGAGGCGUCGUCAUCGCCGCAUCUGUAAAUAUUAAAUUGAAAAUUCCUGGUUUAACAUUUACAAAAGUUGUUGUGCACCACCACUGGCGGAGCUUAAAGGGGGACCUUUUGUGC